rnacentral:rRNA from 1 species
AGAGUUUGAUUAUGGCUCAGAUUGAACGCUGGCGGCAUGCCUAACACAUGCAAGUCGAACGGCAGCAUGGUCUAGCUUGCUAGACUGAUGGCGAGUGGCGCACGGGUGAGUAACGCGUAGGAAUAUAGCUCAAAGAGGGGGACAACCUGAGGAAACUCAGGCUAAUACCGCAUAAGCUCUGAGGAGUAAAGCUGGGGACCUUAUGGCCUGGCGCUUUGAGAUUAGCCUGCGUCCGAUUAGCUAGUUGGUAGGGUAAAGGCCUACCAAGGCGACGAUCGGUAGCUGGUCUGAGAGGAUGGUCAGCCACACUGGGACUGAGACACGGCCCAGACUCCUACGGGAGGCAGCAGUGGGGAAUAUUGGACAAUGGGGGCAACCCUGAUCCAGCAAUGCCGCGUGUGUGAAGAAGGCCUAUGGGUUGUAAGCACUUUCAGUGGGGAGGAGGAUUCUCUGGUUAAGAGCUGGAGAAUUGGACGUUACCCACAGAAGAAGCACCGGCUAACUCCGUGCCAGCAGCCGCGGUAAUACGGAGGGUGCGAGCGUUAAUCGGAAUUACUGGGCGUAAAGGGUGCGUAGGUGGUUUGAUAAGUUGGCUGUGAAAUACCGGGGCUUAACCUUGGGGCGUCAGCCAAGACUGUCAGGCUUGAGUAUAGGAGAGGGCAGUGGAAUUUCCGGUGUAGCGGUGAAAUGCGUAGAGAUCGGAAGGAACACCAGUGGCGAAGGCGUCUGCCUGGCCUAAUACUGACACUGAGGCACGAAAGCGUGGGUAGCAAACAGGAUUAGAUACCCUGGUAGUC